UAAAUUUCUCUGCUAAUAAUGCUGCCAUAAUUUUACUAGUAUUUGACCUUAACUUUAAAUAAUCAAAUAUCUGUAAAGAUCCUAUCAAACGCCUAUACAUGCGAAGUAUUAUAAAAGGACUUUCGGUGGACUUUCUGGUUCCAGUCAUUCGUGGGUACCUUCUUUACAAAGACGUGCUUCGGUUUCCCAAAUAUCCUGAUGCCGGAUGGAGAACGUUAUGAAUCGUCUAGCAUUCUCUUUUUAAAAUCGAUCCAAUCACGUACUAAAAUUCAAGAUGUUAGUACCAAUUUUUGAUUUAGACGUUUCUUAUGCUACCUGUGACGAUUUCAUAGAAAACGAUUUUCGGAAUUUUUUUAUUUAAUUUGAUCUUCUUUCGGUAGAUCCUUUUCUAAUGUUUACGGUGUAAUUUUAUCUUGAUGCACUCGUGAAUAAUGCUAAACAAACUUUUUGGAGCAUUUUAGUAAAUAGUAGAAUGAGGAACAUGGGGGUACAUAUACGGGGACAAACUAUAAAUAAUUUAAAGAGGGAAAUAUUAGAAACGUUAAUUUGACUAAAUUAUGAUGCAAAUAUUGAAUAUCGAAGCUAAGAAUCCGGAGUAAAAAGGUUCCGAGAAAGAGCUAUGCUUUUUAGAAAUGAAAACGAUGAGGUCAACUGGAUGCACCUUCGUGGCGACAUUAGGACUAGCUAAUUGGGAGAUGAUGAUUCCCUGUAGAUUCUCAAAUUAUAAUUUAUUUGCAGUAUGUCGUCAAUCGUCGGGAAAUAAUGAGAAAUAUAUAAUAUAUACGCAAAAGUAAUAUUAUUGAAAUUAAAAUUUCAUCAGGAUCUUAUGAAUACUAGAAACAAAUUGAGAGAUCGAAUUUCUACAACUUUAAACUGAUUAUGAAUGUCUUUACAACUGGUUCAAGUCGCAUGGAAAAAGUAAAAAUAAAGCUUCCAUCUGGUUCUCUAUUUGAGAACUAACAUCCCUAACAACGCUUAACCUUGACGACAACUUGAGUUCGGUCAAUUCGAUUCGAUUGGAGUAUAUAUUUGAUUUUUUGAUUGUCAAAUGAAUUAAUUUCAUCGGAGCGAAGUUCUAGUGUCCAUGCUUUGACCCACUGUAACUAUGUUUUUAAUUGUGACAAUUUAAUUACAAUUCGUGCUUCUUCUAUAUACCUUAGGACAGUUUCCUGCGAAAUAUAGAUUUUUCUUUAAAUUUUGUGACAAUAGCUUCGUUUGUUCUUAAGUAAAUCAGAUAUUUCAGACAGAUGGGGAGGCACACAGAUGAACAUACAAAUAGACAUGCGAUUUUAGUAAGGUUUUUGUUCCCCAAAAUUCAAAAUCCUCGAAACACAAUUACAUAUAUAACUUAUCGCAUACCAAAUAACCACAUUAAAUGAGAAAUAAAUGGAACUAUUCGUGUAUAAAUUGCUGAACUAUUUUUAAUUUAUUAAUGGAUUGCCAAUAGUGUUCAAAAAUCUACUUCGUAUUCAUUAUCUAUGCGAUCUAAUUACUUCAUUUUCAUGUUUGAAUUAUUAUUAUCUUCCCAAAUAAUAAAUUUUAUUGAAUAACAAUUUAAAACUAUAAUUUCGCUUCAAUGUGUGCUGUACACUCUAUUUACGUUCGUUGUUUUAGUUUAUUUACAUAAUUUUACAUCUUCAUUGAGUUUCAUUAGCGCGAAAUCGUUAUUACCUCAUUUCUAAUUUACUCGUACGUACGUUUAUAAUCUUCCGUGCCCGAUUCGAUAAAAAAACAUUAGUUUUAUCUUGCUUUUGAGCAAAAUAAGAAUAAGGUAAAAAUAUGGUUCAAGGAAAACCAUUAAUAGAACAACAUGCGUCCUUCUUCACAUAUGGGAAAGUUUGGUUAAUUUUAGGGUUCAGGCGUGCGAAAAAUUUAGAUCAGAUUCCUUGGAACUUCUUCACUGAUCUUUUUUGCUUUGAAUAUCAAUGAAACUUAACGCUUUCAUUCUCAACACAAUAAACUAAAAUUUCAACAACAUUUCAAAUAUUUAGAAUAAAUAUUCUGGAUCAUUACAUAUCUCAAAUUAUUUUUAAGCGUUUUUCAUUUAUAGAUCAAUCGAUUUGUAUACUUUGAUGUCAGAUAUUAUUUCUUUUGUACUUUUUUAUUAGAUUCUAGAUUACCUAUUGUGGCGAUGAUAAGAAAGUCGUAAACAACAAUAAACUUAAUAAAGUUAACACUUCCUUAAAGGGAAAGAUAAUUCUUACACUUGCUGUUAUCAAAAGCGAACUUUAUUAGGGGAGCUCUAAUAAACUCCGUUGUUUUCGCUGCUUUUACACGUGCCGGCACCUCUGCACACUUCAAGUACUGAUUUGAUUAUUAUAUCAUUGAGGAAUUAACCAGUAUUCGUCGGCUCAUCUGCAAGUGCACAUAUCAUCUAAUGGUUCGUUAAUUCUUCAAUUAGUAAAGAUCACACUACGAAGAUAAAAAGUAUUGACGUAAAUGUUAUAUUAACGACGAAGAGUAUCAUCAAUCUCAAUUUCAUAUUUCUAUAGAGAUUAAUCAGAGGCAGUAACAAGUAAUAAACUAUUCAUGUGAUAGAAAAAAACUAAUAAUUGUACAUUUCGCUUAAACACAUACAAACAUUUAUCUCAGGAGCCCAUUGUGUAUAUUAAUAUCUUCAUCACUAUGGCGAAUAUAUGAGCAUCAACCAAGAGAAAUCGACAUGCAAUAGACAUUUUUAAUUUCAGCAACUAAUUUUAGGAAGCUGAAUUUAGUGGUAAAUAUUUGGAUGUAGUACAAAGGAAAAGAAACAGUUUUAGAUUACGAAUGAUAUUUUAAAUCUUUUUAAUUGAGAAUUUUGACUGAACAGAAAUAUGGGUGAGAAAAUUAAAAUUUGGUUCUUUCCGUUUUAGAAGGAAAUAAUAAACAGAGACACUGAACAUGCUGGGAAAAGUAAUUAGUUAAUGAAUUUCUUUAUUGCAACAAUUUGAUCGGUAGAAAACUUUUCCUAUCUCUUGAAAACUCUGAAUAGUUGUAUCAUCGUUGAAAAUCAAAUUUAAAGUCCAUGAUAUUUUUCAUAAAGUUGCAUAGGUCAAUGACUAUUUCUUUGCAGAUUUGUUUUUUUUUGGGGGAGGGAGGGGGGGUUUCAAGCUCCUUUAAAUAAAACGUGAACUCAAAACUGAAUUAAAAUUGUUUUUGAAUUCUUUCACUUAUCAAUAAAAUAUUCAAAAUCACUAUUAUUAAUCAUCACCGUCUAUGUAUAAAUGGACAUUUUUCGCACGCAUUGAUUUUAAUUUGGAAAUUGAAAAGCUUUAAUUUUUGAAGAUGUAAACAAUAUUUUAACUUUUUCCAUUAAUUAAUGCUUGUUUUGAUGGAUGCGUUCCAUUGAGAACGCCCUAGAUAACUUUCAUAAUAUUCCAUUAAAUCAUUGAGGAUUUAUUGUGUAGCAUUCACUUGACCACAUGUAUGGUUUUAACUCAUUUAUCACAAGCUUACAUCAAUUGGCGACAUGGCAAAGUUUUUCGGCUUCGUCUCACAGCCUGAUGCAACGAGUAAGGUGAGUUUGAUUGAUUGAUAAUGCUUUGGCGAAAACGACGCAAGGGUAACUAAAUAUCAUUUUUUUAAUUUAAAAAAUAUGUGCUUCAAUUUUUCGGCAAAAAUUACUUAAAGCCAGUUCCUAAUGUCGCCGUAGCAUCCUUCUUCUUAUUAUUAUUUAGCCUUUGUUCGCAUGGAUUCAGGCUCUCAAAUCUCCAUCAUAUGCAGCAUUCCAUUGUUGCUUCGAUCGGCCUUUAAGUCGCUUCCAUUUGACAUGGAUUUGUUGACCAAUCUUAGCUAUUUCAAUUGUGCUUAUAACAUGUUACACUGCCGGUCCCACGUAACAUCUUCGUCUCCAUUAACGCGAGGCGGCGUUCAUCGUCUUUAAUAGUUAGCCAGCACCCAGGAACCAGGAAGAACAACAGGUGAACAACUUUAUUCGAAAGUUAAAAUGGCAACCGAGUUUCUCACUCACAGAAGUUCAGGUUAUCAGUUCAUCAAUAUUGCCAAAUUUGGCGUAACCCAGAAUGUACAUCCUUGUUUCAACCAUGAAGGUGCACCCGCCAGCAUAGCACCUCGAGACAUUUGUGCCGUUUCCUGAUUUACUUGCAUAACAUUAGUUUACCUACGUCAUUUAAUUCUGGGAUACCACUUAAAUGCGAACCUCUCAUUUCGUAAGACAAAAUUUCUUUUUUUUCAGCCAGAAAGCAGCGCUCUAAUCGAAAAACCUGUAACUAUUUCUGUCCCUUCAGAGUCGGUGCGGUCUCACCAAAACGGCUAUUACUUAAAAUUCCGAUGUCCUCCAAUUGCGACGGGUAGCAUCAGAUCCAAUAACGGAAAUCCUGCGAUACGUUAACGAAUCCGGAAUAUUCCGUUAGACGGGGGAGAUUUCGUCUGGAUUGUCGUCUGGAAAGAAAGAAAAAUUCGAAAAUACGUUUCUUUCUACCUUGCAGAUGUACCUUCCCAGCGGUCAACCUGGUACUGGAAACGCAAUCAAGGAAUUCCGGCAACUAGACCGUUCAUCAAUCGCAACAUGUGUUUGUGUAAAAUUUUGCAUGUUUUCCAGCACCUAUGAUUUUUAUUUUGAUAGUGUCUCACCAUAAUUAUUCACGACAAGUAUUAUUUUUUAUUUAAAAAAGUGAAAUAAAACGGCAAGUUCCUCCGA